rnacentral:rRNA from 1 species
UCUAUUCAGAGGAAUUUGUGCCAUAAUCGAUAGUCCUCGUUUUAAUCGUUCUUAUUUUGGUAUUCAGUAUGUAUACCGCCGUUAUAAGCUUAUUUUAUUAGGAUUAUAAUUUGCUAAUUUUUUUAUUAUAAAUUAUUUCAGGUCAAGGUGCAGCUUAUAUUUAAGAGGUUAUGAAUUACAAUAUUAUUUGAGUAUACGAAAUAAUUAUUAUGAAUAUUUUUUAUGAAGGUGGAUUUGUUAGUAAUUUUAUUUAUAUUGGUUUUUUGAAAUUAGCUCUAAAAUGAGUACACAUCGCCCGA